AUGGCUCGUGGCGAUCAUCAAAGUGAUGAUGAUGAUUUCAUGGAUCCACCUCAACGUAACCAGGCAACUGGACGGAGAAAAGAGGGCGAUGAGAAGAAGAAACGUAUUCGCAACAGAGCCUCCCAGGAACGUCUGACCGUGUUGAUUGACAAAUUCACUGACGAUCAAAAGGGAGCUGCUGCUGAGAUGGGUAUGCAGGUUCUGAUGGAUGUCCGGUGUACGAACCUUGUCAACCCGGUAUGCGACUGGCUUGGUGAGAUAUACGAUCCCGCCUCCAGGGAAUUCGUGAUCCCGGGACGGGGAAGACUUCCAUUGAAUGAGGAAUCCGUGUUCUGCACUUUGGGUGUGCCUCGGGGACAUAUCAAAGUCCCGUACGAGGCGAAUCUGAAAAACGUGAAGAGUAUGAACUGGUGUAAGUUUAUUGCCAACUUUCUCCACGAUGCUUUCAAAAACAAGAUGUACCAGAAGGGUUGUCGUCUGCACUUAAUGGCGAGGGCACCAGUGGAGCAUCUAAUUGGGCAGUUUGCAUCCGGAAUGACCGGCCUGCUCGGGAAGUUGGUUGAGGGGUGGACGUCCCUCAGUGCCUCUGACAGCGACGCGGUUGCGAGGCAGUUCACUUCAUUUGUCCCAGAACGUACACAUCGGCCAACCGGUUGCCGUGGCCGGUAUGACUACAACAGCUCCCAAGAGCCCGGUGACACACAGGAUGAUGUGGAUGGAGACGCUGGCCUCAGCAAGGACGACGACGAUGACACGGAUGAUGAUGAACACGCUGAAGUUCGCACAUGCGGCAACAAGGGCAAGGAUGCAACAGGUGCCCACUCAUCGGAGAAAGUGACAGAACAUACGGCUGCGAGAGGCGAGGGGGUUUUGCCAUCAAGGAGGGGGAGGGCUCCAGAGGAUGUUGGGCAGGGUUCUGCUAGCAAGAGGUCUAGGAUCGAUCCCGUAGCUGCCAGGAAGAGUGAGCCAACCGCUGGUGGACGAGCAGCUAUGAAGAAACAGGCGCCAACGCCAACCCGUGUUUCUGCUCGCUUGAACAAAGGUGCCCCCAUUGCCGGUGACAUCCCUUCCACCAGGUCUUCUGCUCGUACGACGACGACCAACACCGGGGAUCCUGUCAUGUUGCCUGACCUGAGGAAGGCAGUCAAGAAGGUGAAGAAGACUACUACGUGCGGGGCCAAGCAUAUCAGUAGAGACCCACUCGAACGCCUGCAUUCAAAGUUGUCAACAGGUGGCAACUCAGAUGUACAUGAGGCGCCAGGCGACAAUACUGCUGCUGCACCGUCAACUGCUCCCACUAACUCUGAUGCAAGUGGCCGACCAUCUCCGCCGGCUGCAGAUGUGCAGGCUAGAACAACAGGCAUCCGUACAUCGGGGAGUGACGAGUCGGUAUCCGCCAGGACAGCUGAAAUAUUGCCAACUCUUCUGGCAAUGAAGGAUGCUGCUGUGAGCCAUGCCACCCCAUCAGCAAGCAUCAAAGUGGAUGCUCCCGAGACCAACCUAGGCAAGGAAGAUUUUCCCGCUCAUCUGACACUGAUUCCAAGCGCGUGCCUGGUGUCUCACCUGUGUCCAUGA
rnacentral:rRNA from 1 species